rnacentral:rRNA from 1 species
UACGUAGGCAGCAAGCGUUGUUCGGAAUUACUGGGCGUAAAGAGUGUGUAGGCGGUGCUCCAAGUCUGGUGUGAAAUCUCCCGGCUUAACUGGGAGGGUGCAUUAGAAACUGGAAUGCUAGAGGAUGGGAGAGGUAAGCGGAAUUCCUGGUGUAGCGGUGAAAUGCGUAGAUAUCAGGAGGAACACCGGUGGCGAAGGCGGCAUCCUGGACCGGCAUUGACGCUGAGUGAGCGAAAGCCAGGGGAGCAAACGGG